UCGCCAACAUUUUCAGCCAACCAGUCGUCGAGCAUCCGUUCUGUCUAACGACAAGAAGAAGGGGAGGCGCAUUGCUGCUAUCGCGGCUCGUUCGAGUGAUGAAGUGAGUGCAGAGUGAGGCCUAUUUUUGUGCUCACCGACAAACAGCCUCGUAGAUCUCGUGACACAUCGUUAGAGCACCACGAAAAUAUCUUCCACGCGGACGAAAAGUGUUGCGGCAUAUCCAGCUAUCGGCUACUACGUUUAUUCCAAGGGAUUACCAGCUGCCUUCCUUCGAGGCAACCGACUAAGUGGCGGGGAACUAAUGAUAAACACGACUCUUCGCGGCUAUAAGAGGAAAUUAAUGUUCCGGACGUAACGGUAAAUGGAGUAGAAAGAAGACAAGAAACUGUGAGAUAAAUGAUGCUUGAUUUGUCGAAGAAUGGUAUUGCCUUUUACAAAAGCUUGACGAAUCAGAAAAUUGAAAAUGGUUGCAACUUGGAAGAUGUGCAGCGAAACGAAAUUUGAAUUGAUCGCCUCACCUCACGGAGAGUAAAUGCGCAAGGAAGUGAUUGCGAAUGAUGGACGGUCGGGUGCCGAGGGAUGAUAAAGUAGUAGCGUGUGGUAGAGCAUAUCGACGGGAAGCACCCCCAUCUAUCAGCCCCUUUCCACUUCACGGAUAAUCACCGGCUGCCAACCAAAGUCAGACUACAAAUUGGUUCUUCUGACAAGAGGCUUUCCUGCACCUUGUCCAAUUUUAUGACUACGAUAAUAAGGUAAAAAUAGCGGGCAACAAUUUUUGAAAGGUAUAAACAUUAGAAAGCGCAAAGUUGAUGUAACGUGGCCGAUUGGAUGAAGUACUCAUUUCUUGGAUGGCAGCAACUGAAUUUACCGAUCUUCUGCAGGGCUGAAUUCUUAACGUCUACACGCCGGCUGUACGCGCGUACGUACAUCGUGCCGCACCGCGCCGCGGCGUUGGUACGUAGAAACGGAGAUCAGCAUAUGUCGCGUAUUAUUUACAAUUGGCGGCGAUUUAUGUCUUUGCGCCGGAUGAGGGCAGGCAAGCAGGCAUGGGGAAUGUAGAAAGAGAGAAAGAGAGUGACCAAGAGACAGGAAGAAAGAGAGGGAAAGGGAGAGGGUGAUAGGGAGACAGGAUAGAAAACGAGAGAGAGAACGCGGCCGCCUUGCCAGCCAAUUCCCGGCGGCCCGCUAUAUUUACGAGGACCAUAAAGUAGCGGGCACGGCCGCGUAUAUUGCCGCGUAAAUAUCAGCUUAUGGAAAUAUAGAGCUCAAUAUCUGCCUGCCUGCCUGCCUACCUGCCUACCCAACGCGUUCCGCAGCUUUCCUUCCCUUUCCAUUCAAGGACCAUCCGAUGUCGAUGUCGGUGUCGGUGUCGGUGUCGGUGUCGGUGUCGGUGUCGGUGUCGGUGUCGGUGUAUGUCGGGGUAGUUUUCGUUCAGCUCGUUGGUAAUCGCAUAUCUUGCCUGGAAAAAUUAUUUUUACUUUCUCGACACCCCUCGUUGCGAAGCAACUUUGACGUGUUAUGAAAUUUACUUCUUUUUCCAUCCUAUGUCCCGGAAGAUAUAAUUUUUUCUUUCUUAAGAUCGUUGUUACGCCUAUUGCGCAGUUCAACCUUCCGUUCCCAUGUACUCCGAUGUCUUUGUUAUGUUCCUUUCUACACCUCUUACUAUUCGUAAAGUUAUAAAAGAAAUCGUUCCUACCAAAAAGCAUCGACAAAUGUCAGGAACGUUUCAAAUUAUAGCUCCGUGUUUUCUGUAAUAAAAUAUUGCAAUUUUUUUUCUUUUAGGUGCGUCGUUAUUGUCAUAUAUGGACGAACAUUCAGUUUAUUAUAGAUUAGAUUCGUUUAUCAGCACUAUAACACGAACUACGUGUAUCUAUAUAUGUUACUAACGUACUAUUGAUUCCUAUUAUCACUCAUUUUUACACGUACGAUCGUUGGCUGUUUGUAAUAGGCUUGUACUUAACAUCGGACAAAUUAACUUAUUACUUUCAGAUAUGUCUAAUGUUAUUCAACGGAUACAACAGAACACAAGCAAUUAAUCAAUGAAAUCUCCAAUCUAGCACUCAUUAACAUUAAUUACCAUUAACCACUGUCUAUGUCAAUGAUUGUAAGCUCAACUUGCCGCUAACAUAAUCACCAAGCAUUAAAUCAGAUAGAUCUUUCUUCCAACACCUUUACUUACGUUUGAACACUUAUAUACGUACACUAUACCCUAAACCCUGUAACUCGAAAAAGGGCUUUAUCUAUUUAAAUUUAUACAUACAUUCAAAUGAAUAAUUAUACGUGAUUAAUUCAUGUAAUUGUUAAUGCUGUACAAAGAGGAAUUUCAUAGAUAGGUGUUAUCGAACGAAAUAUAUACUGUUACGUACGUAUUACUACUAAAAACGGGUAUUAUAAAACUUUUGAUUCAUUAUUUCCUGGUAUUUUUCAUAGACAUAUGUUUGAAAUUAUCGAAGAAAGUUUCUUUGAUUGACAGUGUUCUCGAAAGCUCUGCACGAACUGUCAAAGUAACGGAGCGAUGCAACGAAGCGUGUGAUUAAUCCGUGAAAUCUUCUAAUCCCGAGGAAAGUGGAUGGACGCGAUGUAAGUGUAGUUUCAAUCUAGCGAAAGAGCCGGUCAGGAGUCUAUAGUCAGCAGAGGAGAACGCGACGAGAACGCCUGACGCUGGCUGACACCAUUAGCGCAGCCAUCCGUCACCAUUAACACAGAUGUCCGUGUGUUUCCGCGAACAUCGCAUUAAUCACACCUAUCCACAUAAAUUUCCGCCAGUCCGAGCCGAGCAACGAAACCCGAGCGCGUCCUGACACCUUAAUGGAUGAUAAAUCAGGAAUUCAUUAAGGGAGGGGACAGAUGCAACGUAUUUAUUAAAUCGAAUUCGACGCCAGCAAAUGGCUGUAUUUUAAUCUGUCCAGCGAAUGUCUGCCAGCUAAGUCAUAGCUGGCGAUGUCGAGUCAGAUUUCUUGUGUCGAUUAAAUUCACCAGUCAUCCUGCUGUUACUUGCUUAAUAUUAGAAUUUAAAUAAUUUUAUUGGAAAUUUAUUCCACUUGCUGCAUCGACUUCGAAUUUAAAUAAAAAAACAAUCACUAUAUUUCGUCCUUUUAAACAAAUUGAAUAAGAUAAUUAUAUAACAGUUAUAGCACAUAUCUUAAAAAAAAAAAAAAAGAAAUAGAA